rnacentral:RNase_P_RNA from 1 species
CCAGUCGGCCGGGCAGCCGCGCUUCACCAAUGCCGAAAGGCGGUGGGGUGAGGAAAGUCCGGGCUCCAUGGAAACACGGUGCCGGAUAACGUCCGGCGAGGGUGACCUCAGGGAAAGUGCCGCAGAAAACAAACCGCCCCGGCCUGGCCGGAGCAAGGGUGAAAAGGUGGGGUAAGAGCCCACCGCGAGGCUGGCAACAGCCCUUGGCAUGGUAAACCCCACCGGGAGCAAGACCGAAUAGGGAUGGCGCGGGCCGCGUGCGGCCACAGCUGGUUUCCAGGCCAGCCAUCCGGGUGGGUCGCGAGAGGCGGCGCGCAAGCGCCGUCCCAGAUGAAUGGCUGCCACGUUCCGGGAAACCGGGGCCAUACAGAACCCGGCUUACAGGCCGACUGGUAUU